rnacentral:rRNA from 1 species
CUUCUCUGAUGUAGCGGCGGACGGUAGUAACACGUGGGUAACCUACCUAUAAGACUGGGAUAACUCCGGGAAACCGGGGCUAAUACCGAAUAAUAUUUUGAACCGCAUGGUUCGAUAGUGAAAGACGGUUUCGGCUGUCACUUAUAGAUGGACCCGCGCCGUAUUAGCUAGUUGGUAAGGUAACGGCUUACCAAGGCGACGAUACGUAGCCGACCUGAGAGGGUGAUCGGCCACACUGGAACUGAGACACGGUCCAGACUCCUACGGGAGGCAGCAGCC